rnacentral:rRNA from 1 species
UCGAACGCGAAAGUCCUUCGGGAUGAGUAAAGUGGCGCACGGGUGAGUAAUACAUGAGAACAUGCCCUUAGAUGGGGAAUAACGUUUGGAAACGAACGCUAAUACCGCAUAAUCUCGCAAGAGUAAAGGUGGCGCCGCAAGGGCUACCGUCUAAGGAUUGGCUCAUGUCCCAUUAGCUAGUUGGCGGGGUAAUGGCCCACCAAGGCGACGAUGGGUAACUGGUCUGAGAGGAUGAUCAGUCACACUGGAACUGAGACAGGGUCCAGACUCC